GUGCUCACUUCGGCAGCACAUUUACUAAAAUUGGAACAAUACAGGGAAGAUUAGCAUCUUAAUCAAGGAUGACAUGCAAAUUCAUGAAGCAUUCCAUAUUUUU